AGGACGAACGCUGGCGGCGUGCUUAACACAUGCAAGUGGAGCGACGAACCAGGGCUUGCCCUGGGGCAGAGCCGCGAACGGGUGAGUAACACGUGGGUUACCUGCCCCGAUGACCGGGACAACCCGAGGAAACUCGGGCUAAUACCGGAUGUGGUCUUCGGACGAAAGGAAGCUUCGGCCUCCGCAUCGGGAUGGGCCCGCGGCGCAUUAGCUUGUUGGUGGGUAAUGGCCUACCAAGGCUUCGAUGCGUAGCUGGUCUGAGAGGACGAUCAGCCACACUGGGACUGAGACACGGCCCAGACUCCUACGGGAGGCAGCAGUGGGGAAUCUUGCGCAAUGCGCGAAAGCCUGAGGCAGCAACGCCGCGUGUGGGAUGAAGGCCCUUGGG
rnacentral:rRNA from 1 species